GGUUGUGUGGUGUAAUGGUAGCACGUAUCGUUGUGGAUCUUCAACUGUCCCGAUACAAUCGCGGUUCGAUUCCGUGCACAGCCA